AGAAUCAACGCUGGCGGCGUGCCUAACACAUGCAAGUCGCACGAGAAAGGGGACUUCGGUCCUUGAGUAAAGUGGCGCACGGGUGAGUAACACGUGACUAAUCUACCCUCGAGUGGGGAAUAACUGAGAGAAAUCUUAGCUAAUACCGCAUAACACUUACGAGUCAAAGCAGCAAUGCGCUUGGGGAGGAGGUCGCGGCCGAUUAGCUAGUUGGCGGGGUAAUGGCCCACCAAGGCGAUGAUCGGUA
rnacentral:rRNA from 1 species